rnacentral:rRNA from 1 species
UACGGAGGGUGCAAGCGUUAUCCGGAUUCACUGGGUUUAAAGGGUGCGUAGGUGGGCAGGUAAGUCCGUGGUGAAAUCUCCAAGCUUAACUUGGAAACUGCCGUGGAUACUAUCAUUCUUGAAUCUCGUGGAGGUAAGCGGAAUAUGUCAUGUAGCGGUGAAAUGCUUAGAUAUGACAUAGAACACCGAUAGCGAAGGCAGCUUGCUACACGAGUAUUGACACUGAGGCACGAAAGCGUGGGGAUCAAACAGG